rnacentral:rRNA from 1 species
UACGUAGGGUGCGAGCGUUGUCCGGAAUUAUUGGGCGUAAAGAGCUCGUAGGCGGUGUGUCACGUCGGCCGUGAAAACCCGCAGCUCAACUGUGGGCUUGCAGCUGAUACGGGCAGGCUUGAGUUCGGUAGGGGAGACUGGAAUUCCUGGUGUAGCGGUGAAAUGCGCAGAUAUCAGGAGGAACACCGGUGGCGAAGGCGGGUCUCUGGGCCGAUACUGACGCUGAGGAGCGAAAGCGUGGGGAGCGAACAGG